rnacentral:rRNA from 1 species
AUUGAACGCUGGCGGCAGGCCUAACACAUGCAAGUCGAGCGGCAGCGGGAAAGUAGCUUGCUACUUUUGCCGGCGAGCGGCGGACGGGUGAGUAAUGCCCGGGGAUCUGCCCAGUCGAGGGGGAUAACUACUGGAAACGGUAGCUAAUACCGCAUACGCCCUACGGGGGAAAGCAGGGGACCUUCGGGCCUUGCGCGAUUGGAUGAACCCAGGUGGGAUUAGCUAGUUGGUGAGGUAAUGGCUCACCAAAGCGACGAUCCCUAGCUGGUCUGAGAGGAUGAUCAGCCACACUGGAACUGAGACACGGUCCAGACUCCUACGGGAGGGAGCAGUGGGGAAUAUUGCACAGUGGGGGAAACCCUGAUGCAGCCAUGCCGCGUGUGUGAAGAAGGCCUUCGGGUUGUAAAGCACUUUCAGCGAGGAGGAAAGGUUGGUAGCUAAUAACUGCCAGCUGUGACGUUACUCGCAGAAGAAGCACCGGCUAACUCCGUGCCAGCCGCCGCGGUAA